rnacentral:rRNA from 1 species
CCUGAGAAACCCGAAAGGUCGAAAGGAGAAAUUCAUUCGCGUUUCGCAGUGAGCGUUGAGCAGUGUGUGUGACGAGAUGGGAUUUUUCCUGUUCCGCACCCUCUGUUUUUCGAUCUUGCAGCGAACGCGUGCACUUUUCUCCUGGUAGGACGUCGCGAUCCGUUGGGUGCCGAUUUACGAAUGUUGCGAUGGAGCCCGUUUGUAGCGUCCGCAAGGGCGCUUAAUACUUACGAACCCGUACAUUCCGACCGGCUCGCUCGACGGUAUAAUAGAUAACGGUUAAGAGCCGCUUUCAUAUAGCGUUCGACUCGUUGCAAGCGCGCUAGUUUUGAUUGGGCUUCGGACCUGGUGCCGAUUCUAAUCGCUAGUGACUGUUGGCUACGAUGUUCUCGAACAGACUCUUUUUCUCUUUGUAAACCGAUCUGCGACGCUAUAGCUUUGGGUAAUUUCAGGACCCGUCUUGAAACACGGACCAAGGAGUCUAGCAUGUACGCGAGUCAUUGGGAAUUAUUAAACCUAAAGGCGCAAUGAAAGUGAAGGUCUUUCUUUACGAUCGAUCGAGGGAAGACGAUAGACCUUAAGGGGUUUUUCUGCACUCCCGGAGCAUCUCAUUCUCAUUGCGAGAGGAGGUGCACCAAGAGCGUACACGCUGGGACCCGAAAGAUGGUGAACUAUGCCUG